UGGGGAAUAUUGCGCAAUGGACGAAAGUCUGACGCAGCAACGCCGCGUGAGUGAAGAAGGCCUUUGGGUUGUAAAGCUCUUUCGGUUGGGAAGAAGUGUAAUUGUGUAAAUAGCAUAGUUAUGUGAUGGUACCAAAAGAAGAAGCACCGGCUAACUUCGUGCCAGCAGCCGCGGUAAUACGAAGGGUGCGAGCGUUGUUCGGAAUUACUGGGCGUAAAGGGUUUGUAGGCUGAAAUGUAAGUCAAGUGUGAAAUCCCCGAGCUUAACUUGGGACGUGCAUUUGAAACUGUGUUUCUUGAGUAUCGUAGAGGGUGGUGGAAUUGCAGGUGUAGGAGUGACAUCCGUAGAGAUUUGCAGGAACAUCAGAGGCGAAAGCGACCACCUGGCCGAUUACUGACGCUGAGGAACGAAAGCGUGGGGAGCAAACAGG
rnacentral:rRNA from 1 species